rnacentral:lncRNA from 1 species
GGGUCCUGAAGCAGCCGGACAUCCUGAAAGUCUGAUUCCCAUCUUGAGAGCCUCUUCCGAAAGGCCAUAUGUGGCCUGGCACAGAGGGCACAGGACAGGAAGCUGCUGAGCACUGCUCCCUUUGCCUCUGAGGAGAGAUCAUCUUGCAGUACUAAGGCGUGCCUAUCAACUGUGCCCUGCAGACAGUGCUUGCUGACAUCACCAUGCCAAGCUGGAUCCCUCUCCCUGCGUUCUGCUGCCUCCUUCUCCCCUGGGCCUUCACCGUCUUUCACAAAACCCUGGGGAACCCCGGUAAGACCCCAGCCCAGCCCCCAACCAGGACACUGGGGUAGGGGAUCAAGGGAUGGAGGAAUAAAAAGGGCAGCUGUUGAAAGUACCUAGGAAGUGAGCAUCAGUGGGGAGAGGUAAGAAUGAGCCCGAGGAAAGUCUCUGGGGACUAGGUCUGAGUGGGCACUUGGGGCAGGGAAGAUAAGAAGCCUGCCACUGUGGCCCCUCUGCUCAGCCCCCCAUCCGGGUCCCCACUACCUCCUGCCCCCCAUCCACGAGGUCAUUCACUCUCGUCGUGGGGCCACGGCCACACUGCCCUGCGU